UAAACUACCAAAUUUAGCUCUAGGAGACGUAGUUUGUUUGUAUCACCGCAGUUUGUGGGCGGUGGAUACCCAGAAUAGUGUAGAAUAAUAUUACGCUCGUGCUGGAUGCCGAGCUUAUUUUUACAGUAUUGUUCAGAUUGUUCCAGAUUGUCGGGUGCCGUUGAGGUUGACGGUGGAUCCAGAUUACUGCUUUUGCAUCAGAUUGUGCUGAGGCCACGUGCGUUUUGGUUGUUAGACCA
rnacentral:lncRNA from 1 species